GACGAACGCUGGCGGCGUGCUUAACACAUGCAAGUCGAACGACGCUAGAUUACGGAUUCUUCGGUAGAGGUAUGAUAUGACUGAGUGGCGGACGGGAGAGUAACGCGUGAGUAACCUGCGCUGCAGAGGGGGAUAGCGUUUGGCAACGAACGGAAAUACCGUAUAAUGUAAUUUGACCGCAUGACCGAACUACCAAAGAUUUAUCGCAGAAGGUUGGAUUAGCGACUGAUUAGGUAGUAGGUGGGGUAACGGCGCACUAAGCCGACGAUCAGUAACAGGACUAAGAGGAUGAGCGGCAACAUUGUGACGGAGACACGGGUCAGACUCAUACGAGAGGCAGCAGUGGGCAACAACGCACAAUGGGCGCAAGACAAAAACAGCAACGCCGCGUGAAGGAAGUCGGUUGUCGGAUUGAAGCCUUCUGUUAAUAGCGAAGAAUAAUGACGGUAGCUAAGGAGCAAGCCACGGCUAACUACGUG
rnacentral:rRNA from 1 species